rnacentral:miRNA from 1 species
ACAGACUUGCUGUGAUGUUCA